UGCAGUUUUGAGCAAUUAUGCAUCAAUUGCACAAAUGUAAAGCUGCCAUGACUUUUCAACCAGCUCUUCGAGACAGAGCAGGAAGAAUAUUAAAAGAGUAAAUUGAUUGAAGCUAGCAUACUAUUUGCUGAUAAUCAAGCUCUCCCGGAUCACUUUAAGAAGGAAACAGUCCAACAUAGCUCUUUCAUGCUGUGGAAGUAAAGAGCAGGGUAAGCUUCCCUGGUCAAGUAAAGGGUGGUGCACUCUUGGACAAUUCUACUUGAAAUUGAAGUAUGCUAGUGAAAAGCAUGCUGGAACUGACGAAAAACCUGUUGUGCAAUGCGGAAAAUUUUCAAUGAAUGUGGAUGUUGCAUUGGAAGUGCCGAGAAGACCCUGUCAAUGUUGGAUAGAAUGGAAACUUUCGUUCAAACCAAAAAGAUUGAACUUCUGAGUUCGAUGGGCAGUUAUGAUAAAAAGAUUGUGGUAAACUUGGUGAUUUCUGCAAACACCUACUUCUUACUGGACAGGUGGUUGUCUCGCGCAUUCCAAACGCAUUCUGUCCAAAGUGCUUACCACAUGGCCACCAGAUAUAUGCUGUCUUCUGAUUUCUCAUACUACGUGAGUACUUAUACCUGCUACCACAGUGAAAACCAAACAAGUUUUUGUUUCAGGAGCAUUAUAUGAUGAACACUGGGCGUAGCUAUGGUUGUAGUAGAAGAGAACAAACUUGUAGUAGUAAAUGAAGGGACUGAUGAAAAGAGAGAUUUUAACAUUCAAGUGCUUGAUAUUAAAACUAUGUAUGAGAUUCAUUUAGUUUUCAUUGAAUUACUGUAAACAUUAAACAGGAAGGGCCCUGGGACUAUUCUAGAAAUAAAAUGGCAUGCUAUUCAUUUCUAAGAAUCAUUUAUAUUUUGAACAUUUGACAUAAAAAAAUUGUUUCAGGCUGAUAGGCAAAGAGCUAACGAGAGAGAAAGGACAUGCUGAAAUGGAGAAUUCAAGGAUGGGGAAGUUACAAGGAACUGAAAGGAGAAUGCAACUUCAGGACUAUUCUAUAAGACAGGUAGCUGGAUAAUUCAUUUCUGUUGGUAUCUUACGGAUUUGGAAACCGAGCGAUUUUCUACCACACGUUACCUCUUGAAGUUGGACCUCCGCUUCAUAAGGAGUUUUGUGCGAGUCUUUCUUUCAUAAUAAGCCGACACUGACUGCCCAUAGAUACUGUUCUGAAAGAGGAGAUUACUGAUGCCAUUCGAGACUGAAUUCAAUCUUGAGGUGGCGAAUGGUGUUCUAAGGUAUCCUAGAUGUUCAUCCUUGGAUUUACUGCAUAAAAAUUAAACCUUGAAGUUAAGAGGGAAUUGAGUGAUGGAUCAAGGUAUCAAAUUCCUAGCAACAAUCCUCUAUACAGAGUCCUUAGAUCCGCCGUGUCCCAAGAGAGGGAAGGAACUGUAGACCAAGAGCACUUCAAUCUGUCCCUUCAGAACCGUAUGCAUUGUAUUUAGUGAGUGUUUAAGGACGGACGCACGACGAUGGAAAGUGGGUUCAAUCGGAGUUUUUGCAGUCACACUCCCCAAGGAAAAGUUCCCAGGAAUAAGUGGUGGUUGGAGAAGACAUGUCGACCAUUAUCGGAGGAGGUUGGAGGACAAAUUGGAAAUACUGGAAAAUCAGCCAAGGAAGACCAACGUGGGUUGGUUUGAACCCGGAUCCAGAAAGUCCUCAAUGUUGAGCCACCGGAGCCGAAUCUCUACGCUACCCAAAUCCAUUCACAGCCCUCUCUGCAUGCGUGUUUAAAACAGGACGCAGACGGCUCAGCCCAUGCAUGCUGCAGCUCAACCGUUAACCCGACUGCGACCCACACCCCUCUUAUUUCAACUCGGCUUAGUGCAUUCCGACGGCUUCUAAAUAGCUCAUUUGGUUUGGGUUAGACUAUUUGGACUCGUUUCUUACUUUCUUUACCCUUCUUAAGUGUUUUUGACAUUAUUGGAAGCAUUUGAGGUCAGGAUGACCCCUAUUUGCUCAAUUUAAAUUAUUUUGAGAAGAAAAUUGGAAUUAUUUGAUAUCUUUAGGUAAGUUAAGCUUGUAAUAUUCUAAUGUGAUGUUGUGGGUACACAUGUUGAAUCGGACAUUGAGGAACAAAUUUGGGUCAGUUCUAGAAAUAUUUAGUGACUCUGAUUAGGC